UAAUUUUUCUUCCCCUUCGUUUCUUCUCUUCCUAACGCUCACCUCCCCCUCUUCUCUCUUGUUUCGGCCUCAACUUUCAUGUGCUUUCUUAAAGCCCAACACCGUUGCCUUCAGAGCCACAACACCAGUGUAUCCGCACUGCAGAUCCACAGCAUCAGCGCCACAAAUUCAUGCAACAGUGUUCUUCGCAGAUCCAUGCA
rnacentral:misc_RNA from 1 species